CAGACUUAAUAGAUGUUGUGUUUUGAAAACCCAGUGACAUAUAUCAGAUACAAAGGAAAGACCAGGUUUGAUUCCUGUGAUCCAUAGAGAGGCCAUUAGGGAAGACCGGGUUUGAUUCCUGUGACCCUGUGGUAGCCAAGUUAACUUAUGAUAUGCUGACCUUUAUAGAGUGGGUUCUAUGCUGCAGAGCGCAUAGUGCAUGGAGGUUACUUGGUAGAGCAUCACUGGUUAGCCCCUGAGGGGUAGUUCAGACUAGUAUAUCUGAGCAUUGGUU
rnacentral:lncRNA from 1 species